UAUCCAUAGCCAGAAGUAUUCAACUGUACCC
rnacentral:piRNA from 1 species